AGUGAACGCUGGCGGCAGGCCUAACACAUGCAAGUCGAACGGCAGCACAGAGGAGCUUGCUCCUUGGGUGGCGAGUGGCGGACGGGUGAGGAAUGCGUCGGAAUCUGCCUAUUUGUGGGGGAUAACGUAGGGAAACUUACGCUAAUACCGCAUACGACCUACGGGUGAAAGUGGGGGACCGCAAGGCCUCACGCAGAUAGAUGAGCCGACGCCGGAUUAGCUAGUUGGCGGGGUAAAGGCCCACCAAGGCGACGAUCCGUAGCUGGUCUGAGAGGGUGAUCGGCCACACUGGGACUGAGACACGGCCCAGACUCCUACGGGAGGCAGCAGUGGGGAAUAUUGGACAAUGGGCGCAAGCCUGAUCCAGCCAUGCCGCGUGUGUGAAGAAGGCCUUCGGGUUGUAAAGCACUUUUGUCCGGAAAGAAAUCCAAUCGAUUAAUACCCGGUUGGGAUGACGGUACCGGAAGAAUAAGCACCGGCUAACUUCGUGCCAGCCGCCGCGGUAACAC
rnacentral:rRNA from 1 species